rnacentral:lncRNA from 1 species
CGAUGGGGACAAAAACAUCACACACUCUCUCUCUCUCAGUUCGCGUGCCAUCACCACUCUCUUUCUCUCUCACUACUGCAUCUGCUAGUGCUCUCUUCUUCUCUUAGCUAGUGCUCUCUCAGUGCGAGUGGAUCUAGAGAGAUAUCGAUCCUCCCUCACUCAUGACUAUUGCACAGCUCAAACUCAUCCUACCUCACUUCUUUACUCAUCCUCGGCUUUAUCCUCAUCUCCGAAUCGUCACUACCCCUCACCGCUUCUUCACUCUCUCCGGCCACCAAAUACAAAACUCUCCGGCUACCAAAUACAGAAGAUGAUCAGUGCAAGAAAAUGAAUUUUUUUCCUGUGCAUUCUUGGAUUAGUUUUGUAAAUUUUGAUGGUAAUUAUUUGAUGAUAAAGAUGAAUUUUUGGUUUGGAAUAUUAAUUGUAUGAAAAUUUUUGUGAAAAUUACUGGUUAUUAGAGGAGAGAAAGUCAUAUAGAGUCGAGUGACUGAGGUCCUUAAUGCGGAGAGUUAAG